AAGUUGUGAUGUGGGCAUUUGAGAAGUAGCUCUUUAAAGUGCUCCCAUGCUUCGAAAGAAAAGGUCUCCAUCUUUUUGUUAGAAGGUUUGAAUUUUCUUGCUCAAUUGC